GACGAACGCUGGCGGCGUGCUUAACACAUGCAAGUCGAACGAUGAACCAGGAGCUUGCUCUUGGGGAUUAGUGGCGAACGGGUGAGUAACACGUGAGUAACCUGCCCUUGACUCUGGGAUAACCUCCGGAAACGGAAGCUAAUACCGGAUACGAACUGCGAAGGCAUCUUCAGCAGUUGGAAAGAACUUCGGUCAAGGAUGGACUCGCGGCCUAUCAGGUAGUUGGUGAGGUAACGGCCCACCAAGCCUACGACGGGUAGCCGGCCUGAGAGGGUGACCGGCCACACUGGGACUGAGACACGGCCCAGACUCCUACGGGAGGCAGCAGUGGGGAAUAUUGCACAAUGGGCGCAAGCCUGAUGCAGCAACGCCGCGUGAGGGAUGACGGCCUUCGGGUUGUAAACCUCUUUUAGUAGGGAAGAAGCGAAAGUGACGGUACCUGCAGAAAAAGCACCGGCUAACUACGUGCCAGCCGCCGCCGUAAAAC
rnacentral:rRNA from 1 species